rnacentral:rRNA from 1 species
UACGUAGGGUGCAAGCGUUAAUCGGAAUUACUGGGCGUAAAGCGUGCGCAGGCGGUUUUGUAAGUCUGUCGUGAAAUCCCCGGGCUUAACCUGGGAAUUGCGAUGGAGACUGCAAGGCUAGAAUCUGGCAGAGGGGGGUAGAAUUCCACGUGUAGCAGUGAAAUGCGUAGAGAUGUGGAGGAACACCGAUAGCGAAGGCAACCCCCUGGAUUAACACUGACUCUCAUGCACGAAAACAUGGAAAACAAACAAC